AUUGAACGCUGGCGGCAUGCCUUACACAUGCAAGUCGAACGGCAGCACGGGAGCAAUCCUGGUGGCGAGUGGCGAACGGGUGAGUAAUAUAUCGGAACGUGCCCAGUCGUGGGGGAUAACGUAGCGAAAGCUACGCUAAUACCGCAUACGAUCUAUGGAUGAAAGCGGGGGAUCGCAAGACCUCGCGCGAUUGGAGCGGCCGAUAUCAGAUUAGGUAGUUGGUGAGGUAAAGGCUCACCAAGCCGACGAUCUGUAGCUGGUCUGAGAGGACGACCAGCCACACUGGGACUGAGACACGGCCCAGACUCCUACGGGAGGCAGCAGUGGGGAAUUUUUGGACAAUGGGCGCAAGCCUGAUCCAGCAAUGCCGCGUGCA
rnacentral:rRNA from 1 species